CGUCCCAAUCUGAUUUGUAUUCCUCUUGGUUUUAAACUCUGGCUUAGAAACUAUUUCAGUUGUUGCUUAGAAGAAAUUUUAUCCGAAGGAUUCAAAGGGCAUUCUGAUAUAAGCGGUAAAAGAAGCAGGGUGGGCACUUGUCCUGUGGUUGUGUUCAUGGCUCUGACUCUGCACUUGACUACCUUUUAAAUCCAGAUGGGAGACUUCGCAAGGGGCAGUGAGCAGAAGGCCAGGGGUUAUCCAAACUGGAUUUUCUGCUUGUUACUGUCAGUGCCUCACCUGGAGCUUGAGCCAGGAUCGAGGAAGAGAAACAACAUCUGGACUUUGGACUGAGCUAUUUGAUCCUGCCUCUCCGUUUCCUGACCUGAGCGGUUGACUGAGUCUGCUGAGUCACUACCCUUGAAGGAAAAUGCUGAUAAUCUUGGGAAGACAAUGAUCCCAUGGACUCAAGUGCUGACAUGCUCCAGAACCUGUGAACUCGUCCUUGGGAAGCAGUCUCAGUCUUUACCUACAGAACUAACCGGUGUGGAGUUUGUAUACAAUACAGUGAAGCUGUGCUUCUCAGCAGACACAUCCCAGGCAAGACUGUUUUAAAAAAAAAAACUCAACAGAAACCAAUGAGUACAAAUACAAAAUCUGUGAGCAUA